rnacentral:rRNA from 1 species
UGGGGAAUAUUGCACAAUGGGCGAAAGCCUGAUGCAGCGACGCCGCGUGAGGGAUGACGGCCUUCGGGUUGUAAACCUCUUUCAGCAGGGACGAAGCGCAAUUGACGGUACCUGCAGAAGAAGCACCGUCUAAUUACGUGCCAGCAGCCGCGGUAAUUCGUAGGGCGCAAGCGUUGUCCGGAAUUACUGGGCGUAAAGAGUUCGUAGGCGGUUUGUCGCGUCGUUUGUGAAAACCAGCAGCUCAACUGCUGGCUUGCAGGCGAUACGGGCAGACUUGAGUACUGCAGGGGAGACUGGAAUUCCUGGUGUGGCGGUGAAAUGCGCAGAUAUCAGGAGGAACACCGGUGGCGAAGGCGGGUCUCUGGGCAGUAACUGACGCUGAGGAACGAAAGCGUGGGUAGCGAACAGG